ensembl:lncRNA
GCAGGCAUACAGUUUAUAAUUUCAUGCACAUUCUUAUAGUGUGUUAUUUUUGCUUCUGGCUACCUGAACACCAGUUCCAGGGGUCAGAUAGGAAGACCCAUUACUUUCUACAACACACAACAAAGGCCUAUACAAAGUAAUUUGUGAUUAAACUGGAAACAGAAUUUAUAUUUCAAAUAGACAAGAUGCACUCAUGUAACUACAUAACCCUUGAACUGAAACAAAGCAAAUCUAAAAUGCUGACAUAUUUUCCAUUAACUCAGGCUUAGCAUCUGGAAAACAUAGCUCCCAGAGCCAAGCACAGCCCCUGUCUUGGCACACAAUAAAAGCUCAGUAGUUUGUAGAACAUGGAGGGCUUGUGCCAUAUCAGAUAGCCCAUUUCCAAUGGCAUUUUUAGACAAGGUAGAAGAUUGUCUCAUGGAAGAGUGUCUUCUUUUCCUUUGUUGGAAAAGAAGAAAGAAAAGAGAGAAAUAUGCAGGUAUUUUAAAGGAUUACAUUAAAAAUAUAUGCAUAUUUGGGAAGAUCGGUUUGGUGUCUUUAGUCUUUGGACAGGUUAAUUUUUAAGUACUUGUCUUUGCAAGUUAAACCUUCGGCUGUUUGGUGCAAACUUUAACUUGACAUGGGCUUCCCAAGCUUUAUGCAUGCUCUUUGACCCGAGACUUCACACCUUCAGGAAGACAUGAUCUUUGUAACUUCAUCAGUCAGGUGUGUUUUGAGCCUCCUACACUUUGAUAUAGUGUGACCAGCACUCUUAUUAAAGUUUCAGGCUAGAAACCAUUCCUACUCAAGUUUCCACUCUCAUCAGCUGGAAAGACACCUGUGUGCUUUUUGAGGAAAACCUUUCAGCGAGAAGAGGUGGCAAUGCAUAGGCACAUUCUGCCUAAAAGCCAACCACCUUUGCUGAUCUCAUCUUCCUGCUCACAAGUUGCAUGCAUUUUUCAAGGUUGGGCACCCAGCCUCUACUCCUACCUCCACUCUGUGCUGGUGUGAUCGCACUUUGAGUGUUAUGUAGAGUUCUAGGCACCUUAAUGUAAGAAAGGUAUUAAGCCAUUAAUGUCCAAAGGAGGGCACUGAAGACAGCGAAGAGCUUUGAGGGGAAGCGAUUCAAGCAGUGGCUGAGGUCAGUUGGUCUGUUCAGUCUGGAGGAGACUUGAGGGGGGAUUGGGGUUGCCAACAUCCUCACCAGGGGAGAUGAUGGACCAGCAAGCACUGAUCUCUUCUCUGUGGUGACCAGUGACAGGACCUGAGGGAAUGGCCUUGUUAUAAAUGAAAAUUUGUCCAGCCAAAUUAAAAUUAAAAAAUUAAAAUAUUUAUUUUGCAAUUCAAAUUCUAUCUAGCCAGCCACAAGGAAAGAACACCACCGAGCCCAGUGUCGGCACUGGGUGUGCAACAAAGAGGUCAGCCUCAGCAGAGGUUUUCCUCUAUGCCCACACAUCUCCAUCCUGGCACAAGCGGUUUUUAUAGGGAAAAUUCCACCUGAGGCCAAGAUUUUGGCAGUCAGUCCUUUCUUCUAUUCAGAGUUUCACAGUUUGAUGAGAUUUCUUUUCUUGGCGAGGAGGCAGAACAAUUUGAAGGAGGUAGAACAAUUCAAUGUUCGGAGUUGGUGAAUCCCUUGAUGAAAUUUAUGGGAACGCUGCAUUCACAUGUAUCUGUCCAGAGGAUUUCCAUGAUAUCCCUCUCAGGUUCACAUGAUGAUCAGGCCUGGGCAUCCCAGUAUCUACAGCCAUCUCCAGAGAGCCACAUCCUUUUAUGUGUAAAUCGGGUUUCAACAAACACCAGGUUUCGCCUGGUUGUGGGGGACUCCUAAUACAAACGUGUAUACUCCACCAAAUAUUCCACAUCACAUAUAUCAUACUAGAAAAGGCGUGAAUUAUAUCUACCACACAUAACAGCCUGAAGUUGUCUCAGAGGUGCUUUAGGUUAGAUAUUAGGAAAAGGUUCUUCGCCCAGGGAGUGGCUGGGCACUGGAACAAGCCCCCCAAGGAAGCGGUCAGAGCACCAUGAAGGGUUGGACAAUGCUCUCGGGCACACAGCGCGAUUUUGUGGGGUGUCCUGCGUAAGGAUAAGAAUCGGACUCGAUGAUCCUGGUGGCUCCCACCUCAGCGUACUCGGCGGCUCUGUGAGCGGAGCGUGGCUCGGGCGGGCCCAGCUCUGUCGGGCGACUUUCUAGAGAUGCAUAGGUGCACAGU